UCAGUCUUCUCGAGGUUAGACUUCUAGAUAUUCUGGUUGUGUUGUCCAUUCAGGUUUGGUUGGAACAUCACAGGUAGGUUCUUUUAUAGGGCUAUUCUAUGGGUGUGGCGUGAUAUGCCACUUUUUUUUGGAAGUGCCUAACAAUCAUCCAUCGUAGAUGCCAGAGUCAGCAGGGUCCACUAGGUCAAUAGGUUCAGGCCUCCAGGCCCCAAUUCUGCCACCCAAAGAGGGUGCACAGGGUGGCAGAGGUAAUUCUCAAGGUACUAAGGGUGGUCCCUAGGCAGGCUCGACAGGUGGCAGAGGUGGAUGCUGCCACAUUUAUGCUUUUUUGGGUAGGCCAUAGGCGGAGGCAUCAGAUAUCGUCAUCACAGGGAUUUAGUUGAUAUGCUCCUUUGGGCCUAUGUGAUAUCUGUGUUUACUCUGGUUAGUAGGUUGUCACUUUGUUGUCCUCCUUCAUAGCAUGUUGUCGUGUUUAGGAUCUUGGCUGGCGUCACUAGUCAAUCGAUGCCUACUGAGUACCACUUGUUGGUACUCAUACUACACUUCUGCACCCUGUAGAUCAUAAUACGGAUUUUCACUACUGAUUUGGAUAUUGUACGGAGCAACUCUUGGAUUUUGCAGACUUGGGUGAGCAGUUGGCAUUCAGAGUUUCCUAUCUCCCUCUAUUUCAGCUUGCAUUAACCUUUAUUUUGGACUCGGAGACAAUUAUGUUAAUAUUAUACUUAU